CAGUAGCCACGGUAAUACGUAGGGUGCAAGCGUUGUCCGGAAUUAUUGGGCGUAAAGGGCUCGCAGGCGGUUUCUUAAGUCUGAUGUGAAAGCCCCCGGCUCAACCGGGGAGGGUCAUUGGAAACUGGGAAACUUGAGUGCAGAAGAGGAGAGUGGAAUUCCACGUGUAGCGGUGAAAUGCGUAGAGAUGUGGAGGAACACCAGUGGCGAAGGCGACUCUCUGGUCUGUAACUGACGCUGAGGAGCGAAAGCGUGGGGAGCGAACAGGAUUAGAUACCCCAGUAGUCCCUGUCUCUUAUAC
rnacentral:rRNA from 1 species